CGGUAAGGCCCUUCGGGGUACACGAGCGGCGAACGGGUGAGUAACACGUGGGUGAUCUGCCUUGCACUCUGGGAUAAGCCUGGGAAACUGGGUCUAAUACCGGAUAGGACCAUGCCAUGCAUGUGGUGUGGUGGAAAGAUUUAUCGGUGUGAGAUGGGCCCGCGGCCUAUCAGCUUGUUGGUGGGGUAAUGGCCUACCAAGGCGACGACGGGUAGCCGGCCUGAGAGGGCGACCGGCCACACUGGGACUGAGACACGGCCCAGACUCCUACGGGAGGCAGCAGUGGGGAAUAUUGCACAAUGGGCGGAAGCCUGAUGCAGCGACGCCGCGUGAGGGAUGACGGCCUUCGGGUUGUAAACCUCUUUCGACUCCGACGAAGCGAAAGUGACGGUAGGGGUAGAAGAAGCACCGGCCAACUACGUGCCAGCAGCCGCGGUAAUACGUAGGGUGCGAGCGUUGUCCGGAAUUACUGGGCGUAAAGAGCUUGUAGGCGGUUUGUCGCGUCGUCCGUGAAAACUCAGGGCUCAACUCUGAGCUUGCGGGCGAUACGGGCAGACUUGAGUACUGCAGGGGAGACUGGAAUUCCUGGUGUAGCGGUGAAAUGCGCAGAUAUCAGGAGGAACACCGGUGGCGAAGGCGGGUCUCUGGGCAGUAACUGACGCUGAGAAGCGAAAGCGUGGGUAGCGAACAGGAUUAGAUACCCUGGUAGUCCACGCCGUAAACGGUGGGCGCUAGGUGUGGGUUUCCUUCCACGGGAUCCGUGCCGUAGCUAACGCAU
rnacentral:rRNA from 1 species